rnacentral:misc_RNA from 1 species
CAGGGGUCCUUGAAGGUGAUCCACGGAUGUCCGGUCUCGAACAGCAUGGUCAGCAUGCGGCGCCACAGGUCUGUGGCGCGCAGCUUCUUGAACACACGCAUCUCGCCGCGUGCGGCCUUGUCCUCAUAGAACGCGUAACGCGCAGCGAACGCCUUGCCGUAAAGAUCGUGCAGGUCCGGCGUCUCGUCGGGCGAGAACAGCGUCCAUUCGCCGUCCGCUUCGACGCGCUGCAUGAACAGAUC